rnacentral:rRNA from 1 species
CAAUAGCGUAUAUUAAAGUUGUUGCAGUUAAAAAGCUCGUAGUUGAACCUUGGGUCUGGCUGGCCGGUCCGCCUCACCGCGAGUACUGGUCCGGCUGGACCUUUCCUUCUGGGGAACCUCAUGGCCUUCACUGGCUGUGGGGAGGACCAGGACUUUUACUGUGAAAAAUUAGAGUGUUCAAAGCAGGCCUUUGCUCGAAUACAUUAGCAUGGAAUAAUAGAAUAGGACGUGUGGUUCUAUUUUGUUGGUUUCUAGGACCGCCGUAAUGAUUAAUAGGGAUAGUCGGGGGCGUCAGUAUUCAGCUGUCAGAGGUGAAAUUCUUGGAUUUGCUGAAGACUAACUACUGCGAAAGCAUUCGCCAAGGAUGUUUUCAUUAAUCAGGGAACGAAAGUUAGGGGAUCGAAGACGAUCAGAUACCA